CAACAAAUAAAUACAAAAUGCACAUCUUGCAAUCUAGUUUUAUAAUUUUGUUUGAUUUGAUCGUUUCUUGGAUUUGUAAACUUUAACAAUCACGUGACUUCCAGCAGGAGGGACUUUGCGUGGCUUCUUCUGAACAAGAGUUCCCCUCAGUCCGUCGAAGUAGAAGAUGAAAUCUCCUGUAAAAUCAUGGACCGACUUGCGAGCGUCAUUGGACAACAACAUAUAGGUCUGACGGUGGGAUUGAGUUUGAUGAUCAUCGUCGUGAUUGUCGUCCUUGCGGCGGUUGUUUACACUCCACCGGGCGCUACAACGCGCUGCUUGAGAAGAAGCAGGAGUGAAGAACACCUCUCCCUGACUGCUAACAGAAUUUCAUGACUGCUAACAGAAACACGUGAACUUUAUGGAUCUCAGUGUUGGACCCACUAUGGGAACAUUUUAGCCCUUUAGAAAAAUGACCUCCAAACAAAUCACAGUUUCCAAAGACAUGGAAAUGUAAUAAAAUGUUAAAAGUCGUUGAUAUUUCUAAAAUGAAUGUCUCUGUUCCGAUGUUCUGCAUGGAAGCAUUUAGUUGGCCUUCAUUAUGAAGAAUUCUAAGGCCAUUUUUUGUUCACAAGUAUGAUGAUGUAGGGCUUACAUCUCUAAAUUUGUAUACCUGUCAUACAAAUGUAAAUCCUCCCCAGCAGUCUCUUUAAAAUUAUGUUUAAAAAAUACUUAUUAGGAAUAACUGGAAAAGCCAUGGAAAUUAAUUGCCGAGAAAAUUAUGGGAACCCUGUAUAUUAAUUGUGUCCCUAUUGAACUACCACUAAAGAAUAUUUUAAACUAGAGCUUUGUAUACUUUCUCCAAUUGUUACACAUUUCUAUUAAAUGGUAUAUAAUUAAAAUGUGUAUAGCCUACUUUGUCAUGUUGAUUUAAUAGUUUAGCCAAGAACAUGAGCUCAAUACCUAGGCUACUCCUUAAUCGGGUUAGACGCCAUAUUGAAUUUAAGGUGGAUGAAAAUGGGGCUGUGAGGUCUUUGCAAUGGCACGAACUGUAUAAAGGUCC
rnacentral:lncRNA from 1 species